rnacentral:rRNA from 1 species
UACGGAGGGUGCAAGCGUUAUCCGGAAUCACUGGGUUUAAAGGGUCCGCAGGUUGGCUAUUAAGUCAGUGGUGAAAUCCCAUCGCUAAACGAUGGAACUGCCAUAGAAACUGAUAGUCUUGAGAUUAGUAGAUGUAGGCGGAAUGAAGCAUGUAGCGGUGAAAUGCAUAGAGAUGCUUCAGAACACCAAUUGCGAAGGCAGCUUGCAAGGCUAAAUCUGACGCUAAUGGACGAAAGCGUGGGUAGCGAACAGG